rnacentral:rRNA from 1 species
UACGAAGGGGGCUAGCGUUGCUCGGAAUGACUGGGCGUAAAGGGUGCGUAGGCGGACAGGUAAGUCAGUGGUGAAAUCUCUGGGCUUAACCCAGAAACUGCCGUUGAUACUAUUUGUCUUGAAUAUCCUGGAGGUAGGCGGAAUAUGUCAUGUAGCGGUGAAAUGCUUAGAUAUGACAUAGAACACCGAUAGCGAAGGCAGCUUACUACAGGAUGAUUGACGCUGAGGCACGAAAGCGUGGGGAGCAAACAGG